rnacentral:rRNA from 1 species
UAUCAGUCAUGCAUAGCAUAUCAAUAAGCGGAGGAAAAGAAACUAACAAGGAUUCCCUUAGUAACGGCGAGUGAAGCGGGAAGAGCUCAAAUUUGAAAUCUUCAAGGUUUUACCUUGACGAAUUGUAGUUUAAAGAAGUGGUUUCUGUUGAAGUUUUGGUAAAAGUUCUUUGGAAUAGGACAUCAUAGAGGGUGAGAAUCCCGUAUUUGACCAUUACUUUCAGCUUUGUGAUACACUUUCAAAGAGUCGGAUUGUUUGGGAAUGCAGUCCAAAAUGGGUGGUAAAUUUCAUCUAAAGCUAAAUAUUGGCGAGAGACCGAUAGCGAACAAGUACCGUGAGGGAAAGAUGAAAAGAACUUUGAAAAGAGAGUUAAACAGUACGUGAAAUUGUCAAAAGGGAAGCGUUUGACACCAGUGUUGUUUUCUCGAAAAUCAAUUAAAAAGAGUUGGAUUUUGUGUUGUAUUGACUUUAUCAGCUUUCUUCACUCUCUUUCCAGCUUUUUUUAAUGCACUUUUCGUUUAACAAGUCAACAUCAGUUUCUUUUGUUGUAAAAAGGUCAUUGGAAGGUGGCUUUCUCUUCGGAGAAAGUGUUUAUAGCCUUUGACUCAUGCAAUCGGAGAGACUGAGGUCUGCAGCGUAGAUCCUUCGGGGUUAGAUACAUUUGUGCUAAGUUAUAGCUUUUCAUAGACAACUUGUUGACUAUGUUUAGUCUUGUAGCUUACUCGCUUAUGCUAUUUUACCUACGCUUAGGAUGUUGAACUCUAUCACACACAG